GCAGUAGCCGCGGGAAUACAGAGGGUGCGAGCGUUAAUCGGAUUUACUGGGCGUAAAGCGUGCGUAGGCGGCUUUUUAAGUCGGAUGUGAAAUCCCUGAGCUUAACUUAGGAAUUGCAUUUGAUACUGGGAAGCUAGAGUAUGGGAGAGGAUGGUAGAAUUCCAGGUGUAGCGGUGAAAUGCGUAGAGAUCUGGAGGAAUACCGAUGGCGAAGGCAGCCAUCUGGCCUAAUACUGACGCUGAGGUACGAAAGCAUGGGGAGCAAACAGGAUUAGAUACCCCCGUAGUCCCUGUCUCUUAUAC
rnacentral:rRNA from 1 species